ACGGCUGAUUCUAAAGCUCAACAUCCCACUCAGCCGGAGUCACCAUAGUGACCUAUACGGCCCUGCCGGAGUCACCAACUGUGACCUGUACGGCACUACACUGCACAUCACUCGAAACUACGUAUAGUAGUCUGUACGAUGAAAUGUGUAUAAAUACGCUCUAGUGCUUCUCUCAUCAAUCAUCAGCGCGCAUAACUAAGGUCACCCACUAGUCAGAAUCACAUCUAGUGAUCUAUACGACUAGCAUGUCGGAACCCUCACAUGG
rnacentral:lncRNA from 1 species